AGAGUUUGAUCAUGGCUCAGAACGAACGCUGGCGGCGCGUCUUAAACAUGCAAGUCGAACGAGAACCCUGGUGCUUGCAUUGGGGGGAAAGUGGCGAACGGGUGAGUAACACGUGGAUAAUCUGCCUCUGGGAUGGGGACAACUCCGGGAAACCGGGGCUAAUACCGAAUAAGAUGGUAGUUGCAUACGCAGCAGCCAUUAAAGGUGGGGACCGCAAGGCCUACUGCCUAGAGAUGAGUCCGCGGCCCAUUAGCUUGUUGGCGGGGUAAAGGCCCACCAAGGCAAUGAUGGGUAGCCGGCCUGAGAGGGUGAACGGCCACACUGGGACUGAGAUACGGCCCAGACUCCUACGGGAGGCAGCAGUUGAGAAUCUUGCUCAAUGGGCGAAAGCCUGAAACAGCGACGCCGCGUGGACGAUGAAGGUCUUCGGAUUGUAAAGUCCACUAAGCAGGGAUGAAUAAGCAACGGGGAAUAUUCGUUGUGAUGACUGUACCUGCCUAAAGCCUCGGCUCACUACGUGCCAGCAGCCGCGGUAAGACGUAUGAGGCAAGCGUUGUUCGGAAUUAUUGGGCGUAAAGGGCGUGUAGGCGGGGAACUAAGUUAGAUGUGAAAUCCAUGGGCUUAACCCAUGAACUGCAUUUAAUACUGGUUCUCUUGAGUUCGGGAGAGGUAAGCGGAAUUCCCGGUGUAGCGGUGAAAUGCGUAGAUAUCGGGAAGAACACCAGUGGCGAAGGCGGCUUACUGGCCUAGAACUGACGCUAAGGCGCGAAAGCGUGGGGAGCGAACGGGAUUAGAUACCCUGGUAGUCC
rnacentral:rRNA from 1 species